CGACUCUCGGCAACGGAUAUCUCGGCUCUCGCAUCGAUGAAGAACGUAGCGAAAUGCGAUACUUGGUGUGAAUUGCAGAAUCCCGUGAACCAUCGAGUCUUUGAACGCAAGUUGCGCCCRAWDCCGUCAGGCCGAGGGCACGCCUGYCUGGGUGUCACG
rnacentral:rRNA from 1 species